ensembl:lncRNA
UUCUGUAUAUAUCUACUAAGUCCAUCUGGUCUAAUGUGUCCUUUAAGGCGAGUGUUUCCUUAUUGAUCUUCUGUUUGGAUGAUUUAUCCGUUGGUCUGCUAUGGUAUGAUUGGAUCUAUGAAGAGACCCAGGGAGACAGGAACAGAGGGAGGCCUCCAAACAACAGCCAGUGAGAAACUGAGACCCUCUGUCCAACAGUCCAUGAGGAACUGAAUCCUGUCAGCAACCACGUGAGUAACAGUGACUUUGGAAACGGAUUCUACCUCAGAUUGAGAGGAACUGUACUCAAGGAGCUGUACUUAUGGAAGUAUUCCUAAGAGGCCUCAGCAAAACCUGGAUCUGACUUAAAUAAUGAGGUUCUAGACAUUGAACUGAUACUGUAAUGUCUUACUCUUGGGUAGGGCAUCCCUAGGGAGAGGCCCAUAAAGGAAAGAACUUAAGGAAGCCUCACACUAACAACCAGCAAGGAACUGAGACCCUCUGUGCAACGUCCCUUGAAGAAGUGAAUCCUACCAACAACCAUGCCAAAGAGUGCCCCUUCUGGCUGCGUACCCACUUAUAUAACCCCUACACAGAAGUCAAUGGGUGUUCCAGGCAGCAGCAAAACAGAUGUGGCUGCUGGGGUGGGGUGGAAGACGAUGACCAGCAUACAGAUUGCUGUGCUUAUGUUCUGCGUCGACAUCUGAUAUGGCUAUUCUUGUCUGUGUUUACAUGUCCCAUUCAUCUGGUUCAACCAGACAGAGUUUUACUAAUAUUAUUGAUGGUUGCCAUAACAACAAGCAUGUGAAUAUACUUUAGCUAAGAAAUUGUGACAAGUAUUUGGUUGAUCACAGUCCGUAAAUUGCAUAGAGGGAUGAUCUCCAGGGGUGAAGGGGGAUGGAAUAGGACAUCACCAGAUGGACACUUGCUUUGAUCUCAUUGAGGAAAUUUACAUAGUGAUUUCUCCUGAAAAAGUUCCUUUCCAGGGGCUUCCUCUGGAAAUUUGGAGCUGUUUGAUCCUUGGAGAAUAGCCAGUAACUCAACCAAAGACUCUUCUUAGACCAUAAAUAGCAUUCUGAGUUUGCAUCCUCCAUUUCCAUCACUCUCCCUCUCCUGAUCUUCUCAGUCUCUUCAGUAUUCAAGAAACUAAUGGAACAAAGUCAAAUACUAGAAAUUGGGAAGGCUUGUGACAUGUGUCCCAAGAAAAAGAUACGAUGAAGUCCAAACCCCUGGUACCUGUGAAUGUGACCUUAUCUGGAAAUAAGAUCUUUUCAGAUACAAUCAAGUUAAGAUGAGAUCACACUGAAUUAGAGUGGGCCCUAAUCUAAUGACUAGGGUCCUUAUAAGAAGAUGAAAUUUGAACACAAAGAGACACAAGAACAACAUAUGAUGACAAACACAGAGAUUAGAGUGAUGCAUCUGCAAGCCCAGGAAUGCCAAGAAUUACUGGCAAUCACCAGAAGCUAAGAGAAAGGCGUGGAACAGGCUCUCCCUCAGACGGAACCUCUCUGACACCUUGUUUGUGGAAUUUUGGCCUCCAAAACUGUGAGAUAAUAAAUUUCUGUUAUAUUAAA